AGUGGGGAGUGCAAUAUCUCAUACGUAUAUCAUGCUCUUUGAUAGAGACAAGAUAGCUUUGCUAAGAUUUUCAAAGCAAGCACUCUGAAACAUUGGUUCUGAAAUGAGAGGCGAAAAAAGGUAUGUUGCAAUCCAUUUUGACGCAUAUCAUGGAGUUUGACCAAGCCUAUAAAGGAGAUGCCCUCUAUGCCAUGGAGCUGGCCUUAUCUCUAGAGAAGCUCACCAACAAGAAGCCUCUUAACUUUCACAGUGUAAAUAGUCUUUUAUUUUCUAAUCUUUAAAAUUUGUUGGGUAUACAGAUAUUCCUUUGCUAUAUUAUUGGGACCGUGUCUUUAAUGGUGGGUUUGAUUUGUUACAAGCAGGUUUCUCAGGAAACUAAUGAUAGUUAGAUUACAUAUUACAUUGAGGGUAGUUUCCUCACAA